ACUUUUAGGUAAAGGGUGGUGGAACUGUAUUCUCUCAUGCAUAAGUAAUUUCACUUUGCAGAAACAUCCAUCAGACAGAGCGAGGCUGCGUCCUGAGUGGCGGCGUCCGACACGGACACGCAGACUUGUGUUGGACACGGAACACGUGGCACUGCUGCUGCGGAGAGAGAGAGAGAGGGGAAGAGAGAGAGAGAAAAACAGAGGGUGAGAGAGAGAAAGAGAGAGACAGCGAGAGAAAGAGAGAGAGAGAGAGAGAGAGACAGCGAGAGAAAGAGCAACAACAGCGACUCUUCUUCCUUCAGUCCCUCCAGCCACGCGUCCACUGGAGCUCCUGCUGCCGCUGGUGACCAGACACGACCAGACCCGGCCGCACAGUUCCGACCACCUACACUGGAGGAAAGUCUUCCAUCGGACCGCGAACGAGACAGAGAGUGAGGUCCUGCCUGAGACAUUUUUACAGGAAACGAUACUCAACUCUGCUCGCUUUCUUUCUGAAGAGAUGAUGAUGAUGAAGAAGAUCGAGAUGAUGGAGGCCAAACUCUGGUUUGCUCUUUGUGCGCUUUUGCUCGUCAACCUGGGAUCCGCUGAUGAAGCCCCUAACGCAACGACUGUGCAGACACCUGAACUGACCAAGAGUGGAAACUCAGUGACUCAUCUGCCAUCAAUGUCCACUGCUGCUUCCAACUUUUCCAGUGAAGCCCCUAAAACUGGAACCAACGCCACAAACACGACCGGACCUUUCUCCACAUCCCCGCCACAUACGACUCAGUCUACAUUGAAUCACACCACACCUUCACAUGGUACUCCGCCCUCUGCUACGCCUUCAGAAGAGUUGGCUUCAAACAACUCCACUCAAAAUGAAACCUCCCCCUCCACUUCUGUCUCAGCACCUAAAGUCGCCACGACGACGGCGGCGGCGGCUAUAACCGCCAGCGCUUUUUCCACUUCGCCGUCCAACCCCACGUUGUCUGGAGACAACGCCACUUCUCAGUCGUCCACAAAUGCUAAUCAGUCCAUCUUUGCAACAACUAAACCCUCCUCAGUCACCAUCACGGCCCUGCUGAACAUCACCUCCACCCAUGCAGAGAGUUCACCGAAGCUCACCAUGGAGGGCAGCAAUUCUCAUGACUCUCCCAGACCCCUUCUGGUUGGCUUGGUGUCGGCGUUCAUCAUCGCCGCCAUCGUCAUCACGCUGCUGCUCUUCCUCAAGUUCCGCCGAAGACAAAACGGACCACGGUUUCACCGGCUGCAGGAUCUACCAAUGGUAAACCGGCUGCCUACGUUUAGGCAACACUGAGUCUGUCAGGUGUUUUCAAGCUCAGAGAUUUCUUCGACAUCACACAGAAAUAUGGACGACAUGAUGGAGGAAACACCCCUGUCCAUGUACAGCUACUGAAGGGAUGUGGAGGCCCAACCAGAGUCUUUUCUACUCUUCAAACCAGGACAGUGAUGCUGUGGUUGUUGAACCGGAUCCUCUUUAUUAGCAUCAAACAGAAAUUUACAUGGGUAGAAGUAAGUGUAGGCCUGGAUUGCUUUUACUUACCCAGAUUCUCUGGGCGCUUAGCGGACACGGACCUAAUUUAAAUGGAAGUUUAACGAUAAAGACAAACAGCCAGGAGGAAUCCCUUUGGAAAGUGAUCUGCAUUUGGUGUGUGAUUUUUUUUUUUUUUUUUUUAAACUGGGGGGGAAAAAAAGCUUUUGUUCACUUCUGUACAUAUAAAGUUUGAGGUUGUGAAUAUUGGUAUGCCCUUCAUGUGGUUGAUAAAAGGUCACGCUCGGACCCAGGCUGAGGUGAUCGUGACGCUUCGUUGGGUUUAAGUCGGUACAGAGAGGAAAAGGAGGGAGGGAAGAAACCUUCUGAUUUUUCUGUUAAGAAAUCUGCACUUUACUUUUCAGGGGUAAAUGAUGAGGAAAAACAGAGAAAUUUUGAUUCUGGAGAAUUUGGAAAAUUGAUUUUGUAAAUAGAUUGUUGACAUUGUGCUUUUAAGUGGGUUUUUUUUAUUGUUGUUGUUUUGUUUUUUUAAGCGUUAAUAGAUUUGUGUCUGUCAGUUGCAUACCAGUGAGGAGUUGCAGGCAUAGCAGGGAUUAUUUAGUGUUUGAUUUUCAUGAUGUUGAAGGUUCUGUUGUUCUCAGGCAUUUAGUCCAGAGUGCCUUACACAUUUCAGUGAAAAGCCUUCCUUGAUUUCUCAAUUUAUUUGCCGGAUGAACAAAAUUAAUUUCCAGGUAUUAGCAAUGGUCAUGUUAAUAAUAAUUAACAUGAUAAUUUGGCAACUAUCAUGUUAAUGAUAACUGCUCACGUUAUCAUUACUGUGAGCAAUAAUGAUUCUGUUAUUUGCCUAGAAUAACAGAAUCAUUCUAGAAUUAUUCUGUUCUCAUUCUAGAACAGAAUUAGAACAGAAAGCAGUAGCAUCAGCAGAAAUGAAAGUGUUAGAUAUACAAGAACAAACUAUUAUGCACAAAAAGAGAGGAAAAAUGAUAAACAAUGAUUAGUUAACAUGAUAAUGUUAUGAUUAACGUUAAUCAUAACAUUAUCAUGUUAAUGAUAAUUGGUAAAGUAGUGAAGCCGCGCUGUUUACUUGCUGCAGGUCUUCAGUCAGCACCAAUGGAAAAUAAAGGUCGGACGCUUAUUGUUAGCAUUGCACAUACUACUGAUGUUGACUGCCAACAUGUAUAGGGCGAAGAGGUCUCCAUUCAAAUUCAGCACAAAUUUAUAAGAAGUGGAUCCACUUGGCAACACGUUGUUCUAAGUUCAGAAAUAUUUUGUAGAUUUUUUUUCUGUACAUAAGCCAUGUUUUAUGCAAAUGUUAAAAUGAAAAGGGUGAAAAUGUGCAUUGUCUCCAGCUAGGGAUGGGCUGGAUACCUGUGUGACGUAUGUACUUCACAUCAUUUGGUUUCUCUUACCUUAUGGAUCUGAAAGUUUUAUAAUAAAGUAUUAAAGAAAGUGCUGGUAACUUGAUACUGCUGCAGUGUCCCAUCCCCCUCCCCCACGUAUUGCUUCACAAUGCCAGUUGCCUUGCUGAAACAAGACUAUGGCACAUUUCCCUCUCUUACAAAAAAAAAAAAAUGUAGCAUCUUGUAAACCUUUCUGGUAACCACAAACACAAACGGCCGUAGGUUGAAAGCUAAAGGACAGACACCCAUCCGGUCUGUACAGCACCUGGCACUUGGAUGAUGUUAGGAAUUAAUUUUGAGUUCAGACGUGACAUUUCAUGAGACUGUUUUAAUUCUAGGUUGUUGUAGAGAAAGUCGCACUGAGCCAUGCCUUGUUCCGAUGCAGAAUCAAACCUGACGAGUCGGAACUCAGUUUUUGUUGUUUUUGUAUGUUUUCAGGAAACAAACUCAUUCAACUGAAACGCAGCAGAAUUGUUGAAUGUGCAAGUUACACGUAUUUGUUUUAAAUUGUACAUAUUCAUAAAGCAAUGUUACAUUUUUCUGAUGUUAGUUGAUUUUUCAGCAUCUCAAUGGUAGAAACGGUCUCUGUGUGGCUGAGGCUGCAGGUCUUUAAAGCGCACAGCAAAUCAUUCAUGGAUCAGUGUCAUCAUCACAUCAUGUGUUAAAUGAAUAUUUCUGCCAUUUGUAAGUCACAGAUUGCUUUUUUUUUUUUUUUUGAUUAAAGAUGUUUUUUUCUUAAAGACGUCUGCCAUUAAACAACUUCUGACUUCAGAAAUGCUGUGAAAACGUCUGUUCGUACAUGCCGGAACACAAAAGUCGAUCUCUUGUUUUUCUCAGAAACAGACGUUUGCUGUGGGCGAAAACGCAAGACGUGCCCAUGCAGAGACUUCCUGCAUGCAUUAGUGCUGUGUUUCACACAAGGCACACUCAACAAUAAAGGGCAGAUUAACAUAAAA